UUUCAUUGUGUUAUAUAAUAAAAAUAUAACUUACAAAGUUAGUGUGUUAAAUCCGAAAAUUGUGCUUUGUUAAGACGAUGAAAUGUACAGCACGUACACCACUAAGCAGCGGAACAAUGGAACGAUAGCGGCCUUUGCAGCAGUACGAAGUCGACAGACCAACUUGAUGAGCUACGGAGCCAUACCUUUAAGGAUCCGAAGGGGAGGCGGCAAGUUGUUCCAGCACUUCGUUGCUGCAUAGCGGAGACUACCAGAAGUGCUGCUGAUCGAUGAUGAGGCACACUAAGCAUACAAGACGACGCUCUCGUGGGAUAUUAUUGUCCAACUCAAGUUACUAUACAGAAAUAAUCAUGCUUUAUUUUGAAUAACACCAAAUAAGCGAGUUGUAUCUAAAUCAUCCGUGCGUUAUUAAGGUCACAUGUGCGUGAGGUGGAAUUUGGAAGCAGCACCUGAGACAUGCAUUUUGUACGCGUUGUAUAAGGUUUCGCAAGCGAGAAGUCAAGGUCCUGACGGCAUCAGCAUUAUUAAGUUUAGACAAUAAGAGAUUAACACAAAAUUUGAUUCGCAUGUCAUUACUAAGAACAUCUCUUAUCGUAUAGAAAACUUUUUGUCUGUAAAAACAAUUAUGAACUGUA